rnacentral:ribozyme from 1 species
UGCUCAGCAACUCCUAUACUUACCUCCUCGUGGUACUGACCGGGGUACGAGUAACCUUGGGGAAGAUCGGGUAACCAACCCCGGUGGGAACUUUGGUCGUAUGAAGAUAGAGAAGG